AUGUACAUGCUUACAACAUAGUAUCAAUGCAUCAAAUUCCAUUAGAACUCUAUUGUUAAGCGUGCUCGGGCUAGAGUAGUAUUGAGAUGGGUGAUCACCCGAUAAGUCCUAAUGUUUUACAUU
rnacentral:rRNA from 1 species